rnacentral:lncRNA from 1 species
AGUGUUCACUGACACGGGGUGUGUGGGAUGUGACUAGUUUGAAGCUUUUUUGGACCAAAAUUAUCCUUCUUCUUCUUUUCUCUCUCUUAUUAUUUUUUUCCAAUAACAUCUAUUAAUUAUUGAUUAAAAAUAAAUUGAUAAUUUUUUUUUAAAUUUUUUUACUUUCACCUUCUUACUUUAUAUAUAAAUUUUUUAAACACAUAAGAAUAUAUUUAUUAAAUUUCUUUUAACACCACCUCUUCUUCUGAAUUUUUUAAAAAUUUUAAAUACAUUUUUUAGUAGUUUGAUUUGUCAUAAAAAUACAUAAGAAAAAUAAUAACUUUUAACAUAACAAUACAAUAAUAAAUUCAACAUUAUAUAAGAACAUAAUUUCUAAUCAAUAUUUCCUCCAAACUAUCCUCCGAGGGCACUUGGUCCCCCACCUAUUAUGUCUGAUCACAAAAUUUAUUCGUACUAUAUAACUUGUUGAUUUAAUAUUUUGAUUUUGAUGAUAACAAAAUAUUGCGUUGGUAGCUAAUUUAUUUACUAAGUGUGCAGAUAAUGAGCGAUUAAGUUACAAAGCUCAAACUGACCAAAUAGACUGCAAACACUUUCUAUCAGAAAUUGUUGAUACCUAUUUCAUGAGUGUCGACACCUUUAGAUUUGGAGGCUAUAUUGAUAAAUCUGAUAAAAGUCUAAUCUAAAUUACAAAUCUCUCCGGAAUGAAAUUAAUGAAAAUCAUACACAUCCAUGAGAAGACAUCUCGAAGAGCGUAAAGUGAACAAUGCUCAAAUGGCCAAGAAAAUCAGAGAAAUACAUUCUGGCGAGAAGUGUUGACACUUGAAGAUAAUAGCAAAAGACUUGAAUCUGAAAAUGAAGUGUCGACACCUAAGAUCAGUAACAAAGUUUCAUGAAGACAGACAAGAAUUAUUGAUACCUGACAUCAGUAGCAAAACUUCAUGAAAACAGACAAGAAGUGUCGACACCUAGAACCAAACAAGUGAAUGUAGAAGAGUGUUUACGUAAUUAUACUCCGGAUAAAGCACAUUGUAUAAUUUUAUAUUUUUUUGAAUCUCUUUAAUCAGGUCCAUCCGUACCUGUGCCCAAUCGUUUUCAUCAUACCCUACUUAUGCAACUAUCGCCCUGAAUCCACAAUAACCAUUAGCUUAGAUGUCAAUAGUGUAACUAAUGAAAUAUUGAUAACCCUAGGUAAUUCUUGAAUAAAGGGAUUAAAGAUGGGUGGAGCUGGAGGUUAAUUUUUGACAAACUCUCGAGUUUGCAACCGAUAGAGUGACCGGUGUGUUGUAGUUGAGUUAGAUGCCCCUAGAUCCUAAAGUAUAUGACUCUAAAAUAGAAGGUAUGCGUCGUAUACUUUGCUCAUCUCUGCCUGCAGGUUGACAUUUGUAUUUCAUGUUAUAUGCCGAAGAUCAAACUGUACUAUGAGAUGGAAUUGCCAUAUCGAUAAUCCUAUUUAUCAUAUUAUCUUGCGUAAAUUGAUCAUUCCUUUUAACAGUUCAAUAAAUUGAUAAUAUAAUGAAACAAUAAUAGUAUGACGAAAUAAGAAAUAACAGAUGCUUGUUUGAUCAAUAGUAAAUUUAAGUGUAUAGUCACAACCUAUAUGGAAGAUGUUUUCUCCACUUGGAAUAUCACUCUCGACUGUCUAACUAUUUGAAAUUGAGUCAGCCAUAGUGCUCUAACUAUGGAUUUCGAAAAAAAAUAUGGAUCAAAUCUUGAUAUAAAUUAAAAGAGUGAUAGUAUGAAUAAAAUGAGAACUCUAAAAAAUAUUCUUCAUAUAUAUAUAUAUAUAUAUAUAUAUAAGUUGCCCCUAGUAUAGUUAGUCUUAUCUUGUUCCCCCUAUAGAUGUCAAUUGCCUCCUAAUUUUGUCAUAAAAAAAUAUUAUAAAUUUUGAUUCAUAUUAUAAAAAAAAAUUCUUUUAGAAAAAAUAAACAAAAGAUUAGAAACAUAUAAUAAAAAAAUAUUUUUCAAAAAAAACAGAUAAAGAAAAAAAAAAUUUAAUAAAAAAAUAUUAAAAAAAUUGAAAAAAAACAACAACAAAACUAAAAAAAUUUUUUUAAAAAGGGGGCGAUUGGGAGGGGAUUCGGGCGAGGGGGCGGGGAAGGGGUGCUGGGAGAAAAAAAAGGGGACGGGGUAAUUGGGUAAUUGGGGAAAGGAUUUGGGGGUGGGGCCCGGCGUUUUCGUGGGAGGAUCAGCUCUCUUAUUUUCUAAGGACCUCCAAUAAUUUUAGGGUAAAUUACAAUCACCUCCACUAAGGUUUUUCUUUAAUACAGAUGUUCCCUGAUGUUUGAAAAAUUAUACCGACUUUUCUUACUUUUUAAAACUUGUAACACAACCACUUGCAUUUGUCGCUCAUCUCUCUCUCUCUCUCUUUCUCAAGUUGUGAUGAUUUUAAUAUUUUAUCAUCAACCCUGAUAUGCUAUGUUUGGUAUCAGUUUUUUUUUAAUUUUUUUUUUGCUUAAAAUAAGUAAAAAAAUUAAUUUUUUAACUUUUUUAUUUUAAUUUU